rnacentral:miRNA from 1 species
AAUAAACUGCACACACUUAAAAUAUACCAUGUGAUAUAUGUGUGUGUGUAUGUGUGUGUGUAUAUAUAUACAUACAUAUAUACACACACACACAUAUAUAACUGUAAA